rnacentral:rRNA from 1 species
GUAGGGUCCGAGCGUUGUCCGGAGUUACUGGGCGUAAAGGGCGCGCAGGUGGCGGUGUUGGCCCGGCGUGAAAGCCCCCGGCUCAACCGGGGAGGGUCGUCGGGGACCGCACCGCUUGAGGGCGGUAGGGGCUGGUGGAAUGCCUGGUGUAGUGGUGAAAUGCGUAGAGAUCAGGCGGAACACCCGUAGCGAAGGCGGCCAGCUGGGCCGGCCCUGACACUGAGGCGCGAAGGCGUGGGGAGCGAACGGGAUUAGAUACCCCGGUAGUCCACGCAGUAAACGAUGCCGACUAGGCGUGGGGGGAGUUGACCCCCUCCGUGCCGGAGCCAACGCGGGAAGUCGGCCGCCUGGGGAGUACGGCCGCAAGGCUAAA